GGAAUAUUGGACAAUGGGGGGAACCCUGAUCCAGCCAUGCCGCGUGUGUGAAGAAGGCCUUAUGGUUGUAAAGCACUUUAAGCCAGGAGGAGGCUUACCUAGUUAAUACCUAGGUUAAGUGGACCUUACUCGCAGAAUAAGCACCGGCUAACUCUGUGCCAGCAGCCGCGGUAAUACAGUGGGUGCGAGCGUUAAUCGGAUUUACUGGGCGUAAAGCGUGCGUAGGCGGCUAAUUGAGUCGGAUGUGAAAUCCCCGAGCUUAACGUGGGAAUUGCAUUCGAUACUGGUUGGCUAGAGUGUGGGAGAGGAUGGUAGAAUUCCAGGUGUAGCGGUGAAAUGCGUAGAGAUAUGGAGGAAUACCGAUGGCGAAGGCAGCCAUCUGGCCUAACACUGACGCUGAGGUACGAAAGCAUGGGGAGCAA
rnacentral:rRNA from 1 species